CUCCGGUUGAUCCUGCCGGACCUGACUGCUAUCGGAUUGGUACUAAGCCAUGCGAGUCAACAUAGCAAUAUGUGGCAUACGGCUCAGUAACACGUAGUCAACAUGCCCAGGGGACGUGGAUAACCUCGGGAAACUGAGGAUAAACCGCGAUAGGUCAUCACUUCUGGAAUGGGUAAUGACUUAAAUCUAUAUGGCCCCUGGAUUGGACUGCGGCCGAUCAGGCUGUUGGUGAGGUAAUGGCCCACCAAACCUGUAACCGGUACGGGCUCUGAGAGGAGGAGCCCGGAGAUGGGCACUGAGACAAGGGCCCAGGCCCUAUGGGGCGCAGCAGGCGCGAAACCUCUGCAAUAGGCGAAAGCUUGACAGGGUUACUCUGAGUGAUUUCCGUUAAGGAGAUCUUUUGGCACCUCUAAAAAUGGUGCAGAAUAAGGGGUGGGCAAGUCUGGUGUCAGCCGCCGCGGUAAUACCAGCACCCCGAGUGGUCGGGACGUUUAUUGGGCCUAAAGCAUCCGUAGCCGGUUCUACAAGUCUUCCGUUAAAUCCACCUGCUUAACAGAUGGGCUGCGGAAGAUACUAUAGAGCUAGGAGGCGGGAGAGGCAAGCGGUACUCGAUGGGUAGGGGUAAAAUCCGUUGAUCCAUUGAAGACCACCAGUGGCGAAGGCGGCUUGCCAGAACGCGCUCGACGGUGAGGGAUGAAAGCUGGGGGAGCAAACCGGAUUAGAUACCCGGGUAGUCCCAGCUGUAAACGAUGCAGACUCGGUGAUGAGUUGGCUUAUUGCUAACUCAGUGCCGCAGGGAAGCCGUUAAGUUUGCCGCCUGGGGAGUACGGUCGCAAGACUGAAACUUAAAGGAUUGGCGGGGGAGCA
rnacentral:rRNA from 1 species